rnacentral:rRNA from 1 species
UACGAAGGGGGCGAGCGUUGUUCGGAAUCACUGGGCGUAAAGGGCGCGUAGGCGGCCCUCCUUGUCGCGUGUGAAAGCCCCGGGCUCAACCUGGGAACGGCGCGCGAGACGGGGGGGCUGGAGUUCGGGAGAGGAGCGUGGAAUUCCCAGUGUAGAGGUGAAAUUCGUAGAUAUUCGGAAGAACACCAGUGGCGAAGGCGGCUCACUGGACUGGUAUUGACGCUGAGGUGCGAAAGCGUGGGGAGCAAACAGG